CUCAACUGAAAACAGCUCUUUCGCCUCGCUCGAAAAAUUUCGAACACAACAAUACAAAUUUCAAAUAGAUUUUUGAAUCUUAUUAGUUUAGUAUGUUCGAUUGUUAUGAUGGGGUGCUUUAAAGAUGUCUAUAUCUUCCUUCUCAGAUGGUAAUCUAUAGAAAACAGAUGUUGUAUCAAACCCUAAUUUUUUGGUACCGGUUUUUUAAUUCAUUGUUGGGGUUCCUCCUGUUCAUGGUUUUAGAUGCAGUUUGUGAUCCAGAGGGCGAAGUACAGGUAAUUUAGGGUUUCUUUAAUUAACUCUGAUGAGAAUUUGAUUGGAGUCGGAUAAUGUUAUUGGGUUGAUGAUUACAGAGAAUUAAAAGGGGCUGUUGUUGAUUUAUCGAUGGGAGGUUAUUCUGAUGAAGAAUCACAAAACCAGGUAAUUUAGGGUUUCUUUAAUUAACUCUGUUUGUGUGGAAUUGAUUUAUAAUUUGAUCAAAUUAUGAUGGUUUGCUCUUAAUUGAAUUAUAAUUAGAUGUAUUAGGCUUAAUUUAAGUUUCUUUAGGAAUUAGGUGAAGGGGGUUGUGUAAUUAGGGUUCAUGAGUUGAGUAAUUUCAGAUAAAGAAAACGUUUUUAAUGGAGGUGUUUGAAUUCAGGUUAACUGAAUUAAGGGUUUGCAUUCAAGGAAAUUUAAAUUUGGGAUUUCAAGAGAUUUCAAUAUUUGGGAAAUUUUCAGAAAUUAGGGGAAAUAACAAAAAGAAGCUGUUGGUGUUAUUGAUGCUGGGAUGGAAGAAAGAAGUCAUGGAAUGGAAUGAAAUGGAUUUGUGGCUGUAGUUUAUGUUUUCUUCAGAUUCAGGGGAUGUGAAGUUUGAUUUUGAAUUGAAGGUGAUGGCUUGGGCAGUUAUGGAGUGAAUUGUGGUUGCUGUUGAUGAUUUAGAAUUAGGGUUGUGUGAUCAGAGGGUGUUGAUGAAAGUGAAAUCUGUGAUGAGCUUAAGAAGAUGAUGAAGAUUGAUUUGUGGUCUUGGCUUGAGGUUGUGAAGGGGAUACUUUGAUUCAGCUGAACUGGUGUGCUGGUGGUGUUGAUCAGGAGGUGUUGUAUCUAGAGAUGGCAGGUUUGGUGAACUGAUGUUGGAAGUGGAGUUGAACUGUGGAUGUGGUUGAUAUGGGAUGCAGUUGAGUUGCAGUUGAAGAUUAUGAAUGAGCUGUUGGGGUUCAUGUUACAGCUUUGCAAAGUAAGAAUUGCAAAGUAAGAAUAUCUGUUGCAAAGUAAGAAAAUUCAUCGUCUUUGGAACAUCUGAAUUUCAUAUUUCAUACAUCGAAUGGCUUGGCUUCAAUGACGAGGGGAUGAAGAUGGCAGCCAACAACAACAAAUCUGGGUUCUGAAUCGAAAUUGGGGAUUUCUGGAGCUGAUAAACAUCAAAAGAUCUGGUUCUUCUUCGUUAUGAACUAUUACUACUGAAUUCUUUAUGCAACCUAUACGAACCCUAGAUAGUAACUCGAACUUCUUAAUCGAAAGUAUUGAAUUCAAAUUCGAGCGCCAUGACCUGAUUCUCUCUUAUUCUAAUCAGGGGUUCCUCCUGUUCACGGUGUUCGAUUUAGGCAAGAUAAUUGGAACGACUAAUGCUGUUUGAACCAAUCUCCGUGCAUAAUUUUUCGAGGAACAUUGAUGGGGUUAAUAGAUUUCGUGUAAGAAAUUCUAUUGAAGCAAAUCUAUUCUAGGUUUGAAAAAGAGACAGGAGAACACGAGGAAUAGUAUUAUGCAGCUUAUAUCCUUCGGAACUAGCAUAUUUGUCUCUCCUGUGGAUUUCUGAGAGUUGCUGCUGUGACGAGUUUUGCAGGUGUUGGAUGAUCUCAUAGGAGGAAGAAGAUUCGUGAUAAAUCAAAACAAAUUGGCAGAGAAAAAUCCAGCCUCUUAAGAGAUUGUUGUAUCUGCUUAAUGUAAUUGUUGUUGUUGUUGAGGGUCUGAUGUAAUCAUGGCUGCGCCAAAUUUCUGUUGCAGGGUUUCAAUGGGGCUCAUCUGCACUUAAGCUGGGAUGUUUGCAAUCUCUGUCUUUUGAUUUCGAUUGUAGGUAAAUCUCUUCUAAACAAGUACGUAACAGCGUAUUUGUUACUAUCGCUUGGAUCACAGAGUGGAGUACCUACAGCAGGUAAUUUUGGGCAAAUAACAUGGGUUUCUAAUAGGCUUAUUCAGCUGGGAAACGGGAACACUCACAAUCCCGCAUACUUACAGUUGGGAUGCGGAGGUCCUUUCCCACAGACCUUGAUAUGUCCCUUGCUCUCUGAUUGUUAUUUGAAUUUUCUUAUGUAUUUAGCUAGCAGGCAUUUGCUGAUGGCUACGUUCUUUCCUCUGUACAAAUUCAAAAUUUGGGUUCAGGGUUUGCUGAUUUAUUUCAUUGACCAUGCAUAUUGUUGCAUAUAGUCUCUAGCUAUUACGCUUUGCUUGCCCGGCUAUUGUGAUUAUGAGCAUGGUAGAAUUUUCGUGAACAUUCGUGGGUCCUUAGAUAGCUUUGAGGUGUGGUGCUGCUGCUCUAACAUAAAACAUGGGUGCUUCAGAAUUGUGUAAACCUUGCACAGAGCAUGGGUGUAACAUAGAAGUAACGGUGUUGCUUAUCAUUUAGCUAAGCUGGAUGCUUUCAUUAAUCAUAGAUAAUUCUGAAGUUGGAUGAAUUGUCGUUAUGUAUAAAGCUAUUACUAACAGUUUUUUGUUUUUGUUUAUGUAGGACAAAAAGGGUUUCAAACUAUCAACACUGCCAGCACUAUAUCCUGUCUCGAGUAGGGCAGCAGGUGAAUCAUUGUUGCUUACUGUUAAACAUGCAAAAACUCAUAAUUUUAUUGCUAACUGUUAAGCUAUCAUAGAUAAUUACGCAGACGAUGAUUUGCAUAAGAGAUGGGUAUAUGUUGAAAACAAAUCCUUUUUUUCCCUUCUUUUCUUUUGAUUUUUAUACAUUAGUUUUAUCUUUUUGCUGAAGUCUUAUUUAGUCGAGUAUUUAAAUCAUUUUACAUGUAGCUUUUGACAGCUGUAGGUAGAAAAUCUUCACCAUCGAUUAGUAAUUAUAAUUGGCCGAAGUAUAAUAUUUAACAGAAUCAUACAAAUUGAUGCUUCAUCGUGUUCACGACCAGCAACACUGGUUCACCUGUGUGUAAUUAAUGCUUCAUACAAAUUGAUGCUACCGGUGAUGCUGUGAUGAUGGUGAAUGCAGUUUUGGAGCUCGAAAGAAAGGUGGGGUUCUUAGCUGUGGUUGGCCGCAGCGGACUAAGAUGAGAUAUUCUGAGGUCGUAAGAAAACGGAGAUGGAAAAGGAAGAUGAGAGUAACGAAUCAGUGGUGCUGCUGCCAUUUAUUCUCGAUACUCGAGUUUGAGUUCACAGGGAAGUUGAAAUGACAAGAUUGGGUUUGCUGUGGUAAUGAAGAUUAAGCUGUGCUGACUAUGAAACUCUAUGCCAAUGGCAGUGAUGAGACUGAACGACAGAUUGAUGGCUGCAACGAUGAAGCUAAAAAUAGGUAUCCAUUGGCCUGUUGAGUUUCUGCUGCUCAAGUCGUAUACAUAGAGAAGUUUGAAUAGAAAAGUGAUCAGUCAAGAGAACCAGCAAGCUGGAGAUUGAUGAAAAUAGCAGCUCGAGAAGGAAACAGAAGUUGUAUAAUCUGUUGCCGAUGAUGACUAUGAAAGCCUGAGAAUGUGACAAGGUUACACUGUCAGUUCCAGAUGACUAACGAUCAACUUACAAAGUGGGCUGGAUCUUGAAAGUUGAAUGCGAGCCCAAUAGGCUAUUAGCCAUUAUAUUUUACACAAACAGAAUUUAUUUUAUUGAGCCGACUCCAUGAUUUUAUAACCAAAUGGACAUCAGGUGGUUUUCCAACGGAAGUUAUGGAUAUAAAAUGUAACAAAGCUCAAGGAUUUUCUGUUUUUGUGGUCAUUGUAUUUGUGUAUUAUUUGACCAAGUAGGUGUUACCAGCCAAUACUCAAAUCUAAUCAGUUCUCUACUUACCUCAA